rnacentral:rRNA from 1 species
CCUACGGGGGGCAGCAGUGGGGAAUAUUGGACAAUGGAGGGAACUCUGAUCCAGCAAUUCUGUGUGUGUGAAGAAGGUUUUAGGACUGUAAAACACUUUUAGUAGGGAAGAAAAAAAUGACGGUACCUACAGAAGAAGCAACGGCUAAAUACGUGCCAGCAGCCGCGGUAAUACGUAUGUUGCGAGCGUUAUCCGGAAUUAUUGGGCUUAAAGGGCAUCUAGGCGGUAAGACAAGUUGAAGGUGAAAACCUGUGGCUCAACCAUAGGCUUGCCUACAAAACUGUUGAACUAGAGUACUGGAAAGGUGGGUGGAACUACACGAGUAGAGGUGAAAUUCGUAGAUAUGUGUAGGAAUGCCGAUGAUGAAGAUAACUCACUGGACAGAAACUGACGCUGAAGUGCGAAAGCUAGGGGAGCAAACAGGAUUAGAUACCCUAGU